CUCCUACUCUUAUUAGAGUCUGAAAAAUCAUCCUUGGCUCUGUCCACUUCUGUCCUUCCCACACUUGGACAAUCACCAAAUUUUGACCUCUUCAAGCUGUCAUCUACCAUCUGUUCCUUCCCACAGCUAAUAGCUUAGCCUCUGUCAUCUCAUUUUGUCAUUAUAACUCAUCUUUCCUUCGUACACAAGGUAAUGCUUUGCUAAUGACUGACCGGUGUGGAUGUGUAAAAGUCCAGUUCCGUGAUCUCAGACUUCUGGCCUCCAGAACUCAAGCCCUGACAUUGUAUAAGCUUCAGGCCCCACAAAACCUGGAUCUGCCCUGCCAAGAUCAGCAUCUAGAGGAAAACUACUUCCACAAUAGCACAACCAAUCUGAUCAUCCCUGCAUCAGUCAACAUUCUCCAGAGAAACAGAGCCAACAGGAUAUGUGUAUAUAUGUUAAGAAAGACUUAUUUUAAGGAGUUGGCUCAUGCAAUUAUGGAGGUGCAAGUCCAAAAUCUGUAGGGCAGGCAGAUGGGCAGACUGGAGACCCAGAGAAGAGUUGCAGUUCAAGUCCAAAGUCGGUUGGAAGAAUUCCCUCUUGCUGGGUGGUGGUGAGACUGGGGAAGCAGGAGUAGAUGGAAAGGGGAGGUGUCAGGCUUUGCUCUACCAAGGACUUCAACUGAUUGGAUGAGGCCCAUUAACAUUAUGGAGGGAAACCUGCUUUGCUCAAAGUUUACUGAUUUAAAUAUUAAUCUCAUCCACAAAAAAAUAACCUUCACAGAAACAUUUAGAAUAUUUGACCAAAUAUCUAAGUCCCAUGGCUCAGACAACUUAACACAUAAAAUUAUCCAUCACAAUUCCUUUCUCCCAAUAUAGGUCGUCAGGGCCUUGGGCAGGCGGUAACCUCAGUCCUGGAGUCUACAGCAAUACUCUCACACUUACCAGAUGUAGUUUUGUGGGUCCAGGUCCCACUUCUCAAGACAGAAUCUGAUGGGCUAAUUUCAACCAAGUCUCCUUUCGUAGUUCAGUCACAUGUAAGGGUUAGAGAAAGGGUUGGGCUCACAAGGGACUUAGGGCUGCCUCUCUGGACUUGGGAGAGCAGGACUUCUCGGAGAUAAAUGGUUAGAGAGUAAUAUAAUUUGGAUAUUUUUCCCCUAUAAAUCUCAUGUUGAAAUUUGAUAUUCAAUGUUGAGGGCAGGUCUGAGACCUCCCUCCCUGCUUUUGCUCCCCCUCUCGCCAUAUGGCACAACUGCUCCCUUCACCUUCUGCUAUGAAUGGAAGCUUCCUGAGGCCUUCACCAAAAGCAGAGGCUGGUACCAUGCUUCACGCAUAGCCCGCAGAAUCAUGAGCCAAAUAAACUACUUUUCUUUAUAAAUCA